CCACUUCUCCGCUGCUGCUUUAAGACUGCAGAGCGCCCCAGCGGCCAGAGGCAGGGGAGGGGGUCCCCGCUCGCCUCCGCUCCGCUCGCUCCUCGCCCGCCCGCCUCCCAGGCAGGGAAGGUUAGCGAGGGAUCAAUGUGACUCGGGCCGCAGGAGAGGAAAGAUGAGCCUGCCCGCCCGCCUGCUGCCUGGAUGUGGAGGCUGAGGGCUGGCGCACGGGAGGCCCUUGCUGCGCAGUCGGGGCGCCGGGCGCCCGGCAUGAGCUCACGCCCGCGGCGGCGGCUCUCUGCCCGUGCCGACCUGCCGGCGGCCCCCUGAGCUGACGGCGCCCCUGGGCUGCAGCCCCGCCGGGCCGCUCUGGCCGCAGCGUCGGGCGCGGCGCCCGGGAGCAGUCGGCUUGAAAACUUCAGCGAUGAGCCUUUUUCCGACAGAACAGGAAGUGAAAUGAACUAUUUCUGGUCAUUCUCCUUAAGGUUGGUCGUUUAUGGGACACACACUGGUGCAGGCUAGAGCUCCUCUAUAUCUGAAAGCAAUGUUGGGGAAAUGCAUCCAGAUGAACCAGAUUUUUCAAGUUCUGGCAGAAUACUACCGCUUAGCUCUGCCCAUGGGCUUGAGUCUUCUCUGCGGACAGUCCCGUCAAUGCUCUUUCCCUCCCUAGUAUCUGGAGGCAAAUCUGCUGUUCCUGAGCCAUUCAUGCUGUUCCCUGCGUGUGCCUGGGGCAAAGAAGAGUGGGAGCUAUUCAUCUUCACCCGAAAUCUCCUCCCUGUCUGCCUGAGCCCUGUCUGGUCUAACUUACUUGAACUCCUUGAGCCGACCUGCCCUGUUUUGGAAACAGAUAGUGAUGGCUGUUUUGUGAUCCAUACGCUUUUAUCACUUUUGUUGUUUUCCUACUGAUGGCCAGCCAUGGCAGGCCUCCAGCGUUUCUGAGCACCUGCUGCAUACCUCCAGCCCGGGGCUGGUACCCUGAGGUAUCAGCUCUUUGGAUCCACACAUGGAACUUAAGAGGCAGAUGCUGUUUUCCCCAAGGUGCAGGUCCACUGCUGGUGAUGGGAGGUCACAGGCCCAAGGUCACACAGCAGCAGGAUCUGAACACACGUCAGCUAAGAGACAGACUUACAGAUUAAUCUUCAGAAAUAAGCCCUGACCCUCCCACAGUGUUGGUACGAAUGAAAAAUUGUAUAGCCGCCUUGGAAAACAGCCUUAGAGUUUAAAAGCUAAAAAUAGAGUUACCGUAUGAACCAGCAAUUCCUUUCCUCGGUAUAUACGCAAGAGAAGUGAAAUGUUCAUAUAAAAACUUUGACAUGAAGAUUUGUAGCAGCAUUCUUCAUAACAGCCCCAAAGAAGAAACAACUCAAAAGUCCAUCAACUGACGAAUAGAUAAACCAUGGAACAGCAAUACAAUGGAUUUUGUUAUUAUUAGUGCUGUGAGGUCGAUUCUGACUCUAGCUAUGCUGUAGACAGUGGAGGGGAGCCCUGCUGGGUCUUUUUGAGCCAUAUUCUCACCUUCUGGUGCUGUAUCAGACAAUGAUCUGCUGCCGUUCACAGGGUUUUCUUGGCCAAGUUUUUCAGAAGUGAGUGGCCAGGUCCUUCUUCCUAGUCUGUCAGUCUGGAAGCUCCUCUGAAACCUGUCCGCCAUGGGUAACAUUUGGACACCCAGAUGUCCAAAUGCUUGUAUUUGAAAUACUGGUGCCAUAGCUUUCAGCAUCACAGCAACAUACAACCACCACAGUAUGACAACUGAGAGACGGGUGGUGUGGUUCCCUGACCGGGCAAUGAACCCAGGCCGCGGUGGUGAGGGCGCCAAACAUUAGCCACUAGACCACCAGGGCUGCCCCAAUGAAAUAUUACUUCAUGAUAAAAAGGAAUGAAGUACUAACAUAUGCUACAACAUGGAUGAAGCUUGAAAUUGUUGUGCUAAGUGAAAGAAGCCAGUCACAAAAGGUCAAAUGCUGUAUGAUUCCAUUUAUAUGAAAUGUCCAGAAUAGGCAAAUCCAUAGAGACAGAGAGUAGAAUGGUGUUUGCCUAGGGCUGGUGGAGUGGAGGGAAAUGGGAAAAGAUGGCUAACGGGUACAGGUUUCUUUCUAGGGUGGCAAAAAUCCUCUAAAAUUAGAUUUAGUGAUGGUUGUUCAACUCUGUGAAUAUACCAAAACAUUGAAUUGUACAAUUUAAAUGGGUCUAAUGUAGAAUAUGUGAGUUCUCUCUCAAUAAUGCUGUUACAAAAAAAAAAUCGACUCUAUAGGUCACAUUUACUUGGGCAUUUUGAGUGAAAGUGAUUUAAAGCUCAAGAAAAAAAAUACUUGUCCUUAAAAUGGAGGAGCAGAAAAAAUUUGCCCUUUUGGAAUCUCAGAGCUAUUGUUAUUUUUGAGGAUUUAUUGAUGCAUAGAAAUAUGGAUUUGAAAAAUUUUAACCAUUCUUUCCCGAGUAAAAUACUAAUCUGUAUUUGCAUAAGUAGGUGGGCAAUAGUCUACACUAUUUGUUUGUUUGUUCAAUGAGGAAACAAAUAAAUUAUUGCUCCUGGACCAC
ensembl:lncRNA